GCAGUCGUUUUCAGAUUCUGAUUUCAGAAGGACAAUGAUUGGAGGGAGGUCCUGAGACAGCAUCCCGGGAGCUCUUUAGCUGACAUUUCUGGGCACCAGGAAGCAAAAUCUUUAAGAGUCAUGCACAGGUAUUGGCAUCUGGUAAACCAGUGUCUGCCGGGUACGGUCUCCACGAUGUACUCAUCUUCAGAGAUUCCUUUAAACAAGCUCUACUACAGCGUUUCCAUCAAGAAGCACAUUGCCUCCUAGCAGUGUCCUUUGUUAUAUGGAUCCUAGAAAGCCUGGGGAUGCUGUGAAU
rnacentral:lncRNA from 12 species